rnacentral:lncRNA from 1 species
AACAGAUUUGCUUGCACUUCGAGCCAUGAAAGACACUACAAAGGAGGAAGAUAUUUUUGAAGAAAUUGUUACUGUUUUUAGUGCUUUUAGACUGGACUGGGCAAAGUUAAGCAGUGUCACUAUAGAUAGAUCUCCCGCGACGAUAGGGAAAAAAGUGGGAGUGGUGGGUAAAAUAAAAUCAGAAUUAUCAAAGAGAAAUAUUGACAUUAAUAAUCUGUUCAUAUUUCACUAUAUCAUUCAUCAAGAAAACCUCUGCUAAAUCAUUAAAAUUCAUACACGUAAUGGAGACAGUUGAACUCUUUG